GAGUGUCAAAGGGGUGCAGGGUACACAGGAAAACGAUGGGGUUCACCUACUCACUGGGGUCCCCGGGACUCAAGAUCCCAUGUCUCAGGGUCUUUUUGUCUCUAGGUCUGCGAGGAGUGUCAGGCUUUCCGCCCUGGUUCCCAGCUCCCCCAGCCUCUCUGACCGGAAGCCAUCCUGAAGGAGGUGUAACAUCACUGGAUCCUCGCAUCGCUGAACGAGCUCUGUUGUUCGCUCAUUUUACAAACGAAGGCGCCAACACUUAGAAGAAUACAGAAACGUGCCCAGAUGUCUGGAAAAUGAAUGACUGAGACAGAGAGGAAACGGCAGCCAUCUCCCUCCAGGCUGGAGCCACCACGCAGUCCCCCCAAAGC